rfam:Gossypium hirsutum cultivar TM-1 chromosome 22, whole genome shotgun sequence
CACGUCAGCACGCUUUGCUGACGUGGCAACAAAUCGCGUUACGUGGCAACAAAUUGCCCCCUCAUGGACGCGAUUUGUUGCCACGUCAGCAAAGCGCGCUGACGUGG